rnacentral:tRNA from 1 species
UUAAUUGAAGCCAAACAUAGAGGUAACUUAUUGUUAAUAAGAAAAUUGAAUAGAUAUUCCAAUUAAA